GACGAACGCUGGCGGCGUGCUUAACACAUGCAAGUCGAACGAAGUGGCGAACGGGUGAGUAACGCGUAAUCAACCUGCCCUUCAGAGGGGGACAACAGUUGGCAACGACUGCUAAUACCGCAUACUGAAUGAGGGGAUUGCGUCGGAUUAGCUAGUUGGAGGGGUAACGUCCCACCAAGGCGAUGAUCAGUAGACGGUCUGAGAGGGUGAACGGCCACAAGGGGACGGGGACACGGCCCAGACUCCGACGGGAGGCAGCAGGGGGGAAUCUUCCGAAAUGGACGAAAGUCUGACGGAGCAAGGCCGCGGGAGUGAUGACGGCCGUCGGGUUGUAAAGCGCUGUUAAUCGGGACGCGGUACCGGAAUAGAAAGCCACGGCUAACUACGUGCCAGCAGCCGCGGUAAUUC
rnacentral:rRNA from 1 species